GUAGGGUGGGCAAGCGUUGUCCCGGAAUUAUUGGGCGUAAAGCGCGCGCAGGGCGGUCCUUUAAGUCUGAUGUGAAAGCCCACGGCUCAACCGUGGAGGGUCAUUGGAAACUGGGGGGACUUGAGUACAGAAGAGGAAAGCGGAAUUCCAAGUGUAGCGGUGAAAUGCGUAGAGAUUUGGAGGAACACCAGUGGCGAAGGCGGCUUUCUGGUCUGUAACUGACGCUGAGGCGCGAAAGCGUGGGGAGCAAACAGGAUUAGAUACCCUGGUAGUCCACGCCGUAAACGAUGAGUGCUAAGUGUUAGGGGGUUUCCGCCCCUUAGUGCUGCAGCUAACGCAUUAAGCACUCCGCCUGGGGAGUACGGCCGCAGGGCUG
rnacentral:rRNA from 1 species